rnacentral:tRNA from 1 species
GCGGGGGUAGCUCAGUUUCUAGAGCGCAGGCGAUCCUCGCCUGAGGUCGUCGGUGGAAAGCCGACCCCCCGCUCCA